CCGUCGGAUACCCGCCACCGACUACCCGUCGGAUACCCGCCGAGACUUGAGAGGUAGGGGCGCUGCUGCUUCUCGACGUCGACAUCCUGCUAUCAAAACCACCCCACAAAUGCAAUAAAGCACCCAACAAAUAAAUCACCACGAAACUGCAGCAAAUUUUAGAGAAAAUUUUAACUUCUUGUACACUACUAUUUGCCACCCACACCUGCGACCCACGGAUACCCGCUACUCGUCGGAUACCCUCCACCCACUACCCGUCGGAUACCCGCCGAGACUUGAAAAUAACGAUAAAUAUUAGUUGAAUAAUAUAAUAAUUCUAUGAAGCUUGAGGACGAAUACGUAAGCAAAACACUACUAAUUCAUAAUAAAGUUAACCAAAUAAUAGGAGUAGCAAAUAAAGUAUAGUCUUAAUAGUUAAUACUUAAUAAAACACACUAAAAUAUUAGCUCUCUUCAUUCAUCAUCCUCAUUCUCAAGCUGACUCUGGUACACACACAAAUUACAAAGGUUACACAUAUGGAGUUGUGGGGCUAGGGGUCGGACGGAGCUCCCUUAUCACCCAAAUGAACUCUGUUAUUGGUGGUAAGUUAUCUUAUUACUUAGUCCAGAACAAUGCCAAGCCCAAAAAAAUGCAUUUUGGCAGUAGAGUUGCAAUAACUGGUGCUGCAGUGGUCUCCAUUGCUAUGAACAUUUUCGAGAAUUCUUAUGCUCUCAGCUUAAAAGGAAUAAGUGUUGGGCAUAAGAGGCUGGCGGCAGCCACUCUCUCCAAUUCCCCCAACAUCUUAGGUUUCUUCAAUCAAAAAAUGAUCGUCGCCACCGGAUUCAAAGCCACACAUCUUCCUACCAAGCUCUAAGACUCCUCAGAAGCAGCAAUGAGGAAACAAAUGAAAAUGGAUGUUAUUGAUGAUCUGGAGAGGUUUUGUUGUCUUGCUUUUGAGCUUGAUAAAAAAGGUAGCAAUUCAUGGUAAAUUGGCACAAAUCAAUUUCUUGGUGGCCUUCGAUAUGUACAAAUACCAUCAUCAGAACCAUCAACAUCCAUCUUUCAAAAAUCCAACAAUUAAAUCAAAAAUCAGCCCCAUUAUUUACCCACUGCCAAAUUGAAAUAAAUCCAACAAUAAAAAUAUUCAAUCAUAAAAUUAAUUAACAAAAAUAAUUAAUCAUAAUUCACCUAUAAUAUAAGUGGUUGGGAACUUAAUGGAAUAUCAUAAUCCUUGUUUUGAUGAUACCAAAAUCAAUAGGUUUCUAUUGUAAUAGGCUAGAACUGCUCGAACUCAAGUGUUAGAGUUCUUUUUCUAGUUUAGUUGUUGUUCUGAAGACUGAAGACUGAAGAACGAAGGACUGAAGACUGAAGACUGAAGUUGCCGACUAAAGCAUCAGUCAAAGAAUCAGUCUUGAACUGAUUACUUAAUGCGUGCCACGUGGAAUCAGCGGACUGAUACUAAAGUCAAGUAUCAGUUAAACAUUAUUCCUCACACUGAACCUCUAAUGUUCAAAGGAAGCCAUGCACUCCAGAAGUACAGCCGCAUUAAAUGCAGAGAUCUCAGGAUCGUCCUUUUUCUGCAGAGGUAUUCCUAUUUGGUGAUUACUUUUUUAGAGAUGUUGCAUCUCCUGCUCUUCAACAUAGCCGUUCGGCCCGUUCUCACCAAACAAGGAACCUCGAAGAUUGAAGCCUCAGCCCAAGUUCAAAUUACUCUCUAACGGAAGAAAUCUUGAAGACCUUCUCCGCCAACGGAUCUAUUCAAGACGUCUCCUAUAAAUAACGCUCGAGGAUCACUUCAAUCUUCACUGAUUCAACAACAUAAGCUGAAACUCUGCCAAAAUUGUUGCUCAGCCAAAGCCCAGCCUCUCCAAAGUUUGAAUCGAAGAAGAGAAUCUCAAAACCAAAAAUCAGUCACUGCUGAUUACAUAAAUUCUCUUAGACCUUAGGCAAACUUUGUUUAUCCAAAACCUAGGUCAAACUAACUCCAAAGAACUUGUUAUUUGAAGUUUAGUUGGCAAGUUUUCAAACCUCCUUUCGACCGACAGAAUCGAGUGUUUGAGUUGCAAAGGAGUUCAGGAAGGUACUCAAUCUCAUGGAGAUCCUAGUGCACAGUGCGUGCUAGGAGUGAGAAAUCCAACAAGGUGUGUUGGUACUGAAGAUUGGAUCUUCAGUUGUUUCGAUUGUGUGCACCCGCAAGCAUACGUUCAGGUUUGCUGUGCACCCGUAAACACGAGCAUCGAUUUGCAGUGCACCCGUAAGCACUUGCAGAGUGAAGUUGUUGGUCUGAUCAACCGGCCGUGGAUAUAGGAAGUGUUUUCCGAACCACGUAAAAAUAUCUGUGUUAUUUACAGCUUUCGGUAUUUACUUUCUUACUUAUGCUCUUCCUUUCAUCAACUAAAAACUAAUUAAUAGCAAAGAGAAACUUAAGACUAACAACGUGCUCAACCCAAAAGGCUAUUGCGAAACAAAAGUUUUCCGUUGCGUGUGUUAUCAGUCUGACUGAUCUAUCUUCUAAUAGUCAGUGAAAUUUAUAACAUCUCUGUUUAUCAAACUUGACAGAAGCCUUACGUGCAUAGUUAAGUUCUUGUGACUUAACUGAUAACUCCUUACUGAAGAGUCUUUCAGUAUCAGUCGCCAACCCUGUUUUGGUCAAAACUCUUUUCAGUAAACAGGUGUCUGAGUUUGUGUUUGAAGUUUCGUUUUGAUCUCUGUGUUGAGAUUUCAAAAAUAGCCUAUAAGUGUAUUCCCCCCUCCAUACACCUAUUCGAGACCCUCUGGACCUAACAUAAGCAAAAUACUAACAACACAUACAAAGAAAUCAAGUGCGCCAAUAUAUUAAUCUUACACAUUCAGCUAAUUAGUUAUAAAGUAAAACAAACAUUACAUUCCACUGAACUUUCAAACCGAUCCGUAAACACAUCCGAUUACUUAAGCAUCUAUUUAGCAAAAUAAAUCAACAGUCAACCGAGAUCUGACUUCGUCAAAUAAAAUAAAACCAAAUAAAAAUAAAAUAAUUACAAAAAAACCCCGAAAGUUCACAGUAAUCCUCUAAUUACUAAUCUCCAAAUGAAAAAUACGCAUCAAUCGAAAUCGGUGUGACCAUGGAAGAAAAAAUUAGAAACCACAAAUCACCGUUGAUUGGCUGUAAAACUCUUAUCAUUUGAACUAAUGAAUUUAUAGCUAAAACCUAUAAUUAUUAAGUUUCCAUUGUUAAUUUGUAUCUAAAAUUGGCUGAUUAUUGAUUGAUUGGUAAAUCAUAUAAUCGUAUUGCAUAAUGAUUCUUUCCUAAAUUUGUUCUUUCUAAAAUUCACACUAAUUCCUCCUAGAAAAAAUUCACACUAAUCAUUCCAUAUUCAUUAUAAUCGAAUAUAAUUUUUCCUAAUAGAAAAUACUUGCCAUGGGUGAUCAAGAACUGUUUCGGAGCCAAGUAAUGUCCGGCGGGACAGUCAUUGAUGGCGGUGGUGCUAGACGCAAGGCAACCAUUGUUACUCACUACGCAUCAAAGAUCAUCUAAACCUGACAGUAAUAUGGAACUUCAUUGAGUUAUGAUAAUUACUCAGAACAAAUUAAUAACUUCAAACCUAUCCACACUCCAAAAUUUAUGUUAGAAACAAAAAAAUUGCAUCGCCGCUUCAAACACGAGUUAUACUAAUGCUUAGAGAAGCCACCAGAUUGAACUUGUACAGAAAAAGAUAGAUUAAUUAACAUAAUAACCUAAUAUGACUCAUCAACACAAUCGUCAUUCAGACAUUUCGUCAAACAGCUAGAGAGCAAGGAGAAACAACAUAAAAGGGGCCGACCCAUUAACACCUAUCUUUCGAAAAUCCAACAAUUAAAUAGAAACCCACUGCCAUUGAAAUAAAUCCAACAAUUAGAAUCCUACCUGGCUGUAUCGUCCCCUGCUCCAGGCGCGCAACUGGCGGACUUCUCUGGUCGCGACGGCGCAGGGCGG
rnacentral:lncRNA from 1 species